rnacentral:ncRNA from 1 species
AUGUUGUAUGAAAGAAGGAGAAAAGGGUGGAAGAGGCCCCAGUGGCCUGUACAACACACAUGCAGUUAAGGCACUGCCACCUACUUCAUGGCAUCUGACCAUGUUUUUGC